rnacentral:rRNA from 1 species
GACGAGCGCUGGCGGCGUGCCUAAUACAUGCAAGUCGAGCGAAUGACGAGAAGCUUGCUUCUCUGAUUUAGCGGCGAACGGGUGAGUAACACGUAAGGAAUCUACCUAUAAGCGGGGGAUAACAUUCGGAAACGGGUGCUAAUACCGCAUAAUAUCUUCUUCCGCAUGGACGAAGAUUGAAAGACGGCUCUGCUGUCACUUAUAGAUGACCUUGCGGUGCAUUAGUUAGUUGGUGGGGUAAUGGCCUACCAAGACGAUGAUGCAUAGCCGACCUGGGAGGGUGAUCGGCCACAUUGGGACUGAGACACGGCCCAAACUCCUACGGGAGGCAGCAGUAGGGAAUCUUCCGCAAUGGGCGAAAGCCUGACGGAGCAAUGCCGCGUGAGUGAAGAAGGCCUUCGGGUCGUAAAACUCUGUUAUAAGAGAAGAACAAAUUGUAGAGUAACUGCUACAGUCUUGACGGUAUCUUAUCAGAAAGCCACGGCUAACUACGUGCCAGCAGCCGCCGCAG